rnacentral:rRNA from 1 species
CUACGGGUUGCAGCAGUGGGGAAUAUUGCACAAUGGGCGCAAGCCUGAUGCAGCCAUGCCGCGUUUAUGAAGAAGGCCUUCGGGUUGUAAAGUACUUUCAGCGGGGAGGAAGGGAGUAAAGUUAAUACCUUUGCUCAUUGACGUUACCCGCAGAAGAAGCACCGGCUAACUCCGUGCCAGCAGCCGCGGUAAUACGGAGGGUGCAAGCGUUAAUCGGAAUUACUGGGCGUAAAGCGCACGCAGGCGGUUUGUUAAGUCGAUGUGAAAUCCCCGGGCUCAACCUGGGAACUGCAUCUGAUACUGGCAAGCUUGAGUCUCGUAGAGGGGGGUAGAAUUCCAGGUGUAGCGGUGAAAUGCGUAGAGAUCUGGAGGAAUACCGGUGGCGAAGGCGGCCCCCUGGACGAAGACUGACGCUCAGGUGCGAAAGCGUGGGGAGCAAACAGGAUUAGAUACCCUUGUAGUC